rnacentral:rRNA from 1 species
UAAAUUCUAAAUGGAAUAACCGAGGAAAGCCUGGGCUAAUACAUGCGACAAUUCCGGUAGUAAUAUCGGAAUGCUUUUAUUAGAUCAAAACCUUCUAGUUCUUUAACCGGAACUGUUUGUUGGUGACUCUAAAUAACUUUGUGUUGAUCGUAUGACCUUGUGUCGACGACAUAUCUUUCAAGUGUCUGACUUAUCAACUUUAGACGGUACAUUAUAUGUCUACCGUGGUUGUAACGAGUACAGAGAAUCAGGGUUUGGUUCUGGAGAGGCCGCCUGAGAAACGGCGACCACUUCCAAGGAAGGCAGCAGGCGCGCAAAAUUACCCACUCUCAAAACGAGGAGGUAGUGAAGAGAAAUAACGAUGUUAGUCUUUUACAGGCUGACAAUCGGAAUGGGAACACUGUAAAUAGGUUAUCGAUU